AACACGGACCAAGGAGUCCAGCAUAUACGCAAGUGCUUAGGUGGUAAACUUUAGCGCGUAGCGAAAGCAUAGGAACAAUGU
rnacentral:rRNA from 1 species